CGAAUUGCGCUAUGUACUGUGAAUUNCCGAAUUCAGUGCAUCAUCGCAUCUUUGAACGCACAUUGCA
rnacentral:rRNA from 1 species